rnacentral:rRNA from 1 species
CCCUUAGAUGUUCUGGGCCGCACGCGCGCUACACUGAUUCAUGCAACAAGUUUUGUCCUUGGCUGAUAGGCCUGGGUAAUCUUUGAACGUGAAUCGUGAUGGGGAUAGAUGAUUGCAAUUAUUCAUCUUCAACGAGGGAUUCCUAGUAAACGCAAGUCAUCAGCUUGCAUUGAUUACGUCCCUGCCCUUUGUACACACCGCCCGUCGCACCUACCGAUUGAAUGGUCCGGUGAAAUCUUCGGAUCUGAGAGAUGUCUGAUUAAUUUCGGACGCCUUUUGGAAAAGUUGUUUAAACCUUACCAUUUAGAGGAAGGUGAAGUCGUAACA